rnacentral:rRNA from 1 species
ACGGCCAUACCAUGCUGAAUAUACCGGUUCUCGUUAGAUCACAGAAGUCAAGCAUCAUUGGGCGCGGUCAGUACUUGGGUGGGUGACCACCUGGGAAACCAGUU